GACUGGAGAGAGAGCAGCAGGAGAAAGAGCGACUUCGAGAAAUAGAAGAGGGCAAGAAGGAGAAGGAGCAGCAGUGGCGGACUCAUGUAGCACAUGUGGCCUCCAGCCAGGAGAAGACUCUGCAAGACAGACUGGCAAGACUCAGGAGAUUCAGGGAGUUCCAGAGAAAGGUGCUGGUUGAGGAGUCAGGGAUGGAGGGUGGGGCGGCCAGCCUCGCUGUCAACCAUCUUCUCACCAGGAUGUAGAUGUACUACAGAGAGUGACUUAUGAAAAAAUGUGCUUUUUGCUGUGCUUUACAUCAAUAA